rnacentral:lncRNA from 1 species
UCAGAUCUCCCAGGUGACACAGCAGUCUCAUAGUAGGGGCUUUGUAUGGACCAGAUGUUCUGACUGUUCCAACUGUCCUCUAAAAGGCCGGCGUCGAUUUAAAGCCUCAGGAUCCCAAGCGCUGGGAUUAUAGGAGCACAGCACUACAUUAAGCAGUGGAGAGCGAAGGUGAGAGGGGAAAAAAGGCUCUGCCGACCUGAGUGUGUGAGUAGGCGACAACUCAAGAGUUCCAAGUCAACUUUUCACCUGGUGAGGAAGAGAAGGAAGCAAGACAGGGAUACAGAGUUGCCCAGGAGCCACACCAAGCUUGGGGACCCGGUGCAUGUCCCUCUCUGCCCAGCUGCCUGGUUCUGUGAGCCACAGCCAUCUUCUAAGAGAUCUGCAGUCAGUCAUGUGACCUUUCUCUGGUUCCACCACAGGACUUUCACUCCUCAUACCUCCCUGGGUACAGAAAAGGCAGGUGUGAGCUGCUUCCCCGUGACUGUCAUUGUUCACAAAAAACCACACACGACUGAGCUCUUGCAUUGGUGUAUGACGUGGGCACAGUGGAGGUGAUCAAUGAGUGACCAUCAGUGGACCAUCUGCAAAAGGUAGCUGAAUGCCAUUCCUGGGGGCAUCUGGGGGCAUUUCAAGAGGACACCAUCUUGGAGCUGGCACUGGACAGUGGCUAGCCUUCAGGGAUGGAACAUCUGUCAUGACUUCCUAACUCUGCGCCCAGCAGUAGCUCUCUCAGCGGCCAUCUGGGGACAUCAGAACAAGCACACAUAGGACAGGGCUGGCCUCCUUUCUUAUACAACCUAGGACUGCCUUCUCAGGGUGGCACCACUCACCAUUAACCAAAACUUGCCCUCAGACCAAGCUGAUGAAAGUAUCUUCUUAAUUAAAGACCUUCUUCCUAAAUGAUCUUAGCUUGUGUUAGGCUCUCAAAAACUAACUGACUUAAGAGUCCAAAGCCAAGCCUGUCUGGAGCAGAAGCCACAGAUAAAUCUACCCUAACAGGAUGGGACAAAUGACCAUGGCUUUCAGUGGAGGUCAGUCUCCAGUUCUCUCAAUGAAAACCACAGGUGACAUUUUCAGUUGUCACCAGAGUCACGCCUCAUAUGACGAAGUGGAAUGGAUCAAGGACAAUCCACUGCAGUAAUGCAAGACAGUGAGGACAUGGUUCAGCAAGCCAAGUAUUUGCCUCACUGGGUUCAGGGCCUGAGUUUGCUCCUCAGAAUACAUGUAAAGAUGUCCUAUUGUAUACCUAUAAUUAAAC